UCUGAACCUUCGGGGGACGAUAACGGCGUCGAGCGGCGGACGGGUGAGUAAUGCCUAGGAAAUUGCCCUGAUGUGGGGGAUAACCAUUGGAAACGAUGGCUAAUACCGCAUGAUGCCUACGGGCCAAAGAGGGGGACCUUCGGGCCUCUCGCGUCAGGAUAUGCCUAGGUGGGAUUAGCUAGUUGGUGAGGUAAGGGCUCACCAAGGCGACGAUCCCUAGCUGGUCUGAGAGGAUGAUCAGCCACACUGGAACUGAGACACGGUCCAGACUCCUACGGGAGGCAGCAGUGGGGAAUAUUGCACAAUGGGCGCAAGCCUGAUGCAGCCAUGCCGCGUGUAUGAAGAAGGCCUUCGGGUUGUAAAGUACUUUCAGUCGUGAGGAAGGUGGUAGCGUUAAUAGCGCUAUCAUUUGACGUUAGCGACAGAAGAAGCACCGGCUAACUCCGUGCCAGCAGCCGCGGUAAUACGGAGGGUGCGAGCGUUAAUCGGAAUUACUGGGCGUAAAGCGCAUGCAGGUGGUUUGUUAAGUCAGAUGUGAAAGCCCGGGGCUCAACCUCGGAAUAGCAUUUGAAACUGGCAGACUAGAGUACUGUAGAGGGGGGUAGAAUUUCAGGUGUAGCGGUGAAAUGCGUAGAGAUCUGAAGGAAUACCGGUGGCGA
rnacentral:rRNA from 1 species